rnacentral:rRNA from 1 species
GUUGUAUGGUUAAGUGACUAAGCGUACACGGUGGAUGCCUUGGCAGUCAGAGGCGAUGAAGGACGUAGUAACUUGCGAUAAGCGUAGAUUAGGCAGUAACAGCCACUUGAGUCUACGAUUUCCGAAUGGGGAAACCCACGUGCAUAAGCACGUAUCCUUACCUGAAUACAUAGGGUAAGGAGGCAAACCGGGGGAACUGAAACAUCUAAGUACCCCGAGGAGAAGAAAUCAACAGAGAUUCCGAAAGUAGCGGCGAGCGAAAUUGGACUAGCCCUUAAGCUUUUAAUGAUGCAGGUGAAGCCUCUGGAAAGUGGCGCAAUAAAGGGUGAUAGCCCCGUAACUGUUCCAUCAUUAUAAGUGAAAUCGAGUAAGGCGGGACACGUGUUAUCCUGUCUGAACAUGGGGGGACCAUCCUCCAAGGCUAAAUACUACUGACUGACCGAUAGUGAACCAGUACCGUGAGGGAAAGGCGAAAAGAACCCCUGUGAGGGGAGUGAAAUAGAACCUGAAACCGUGUACGUACAAGCAGUAGGAGCAGGCAUUGUCCUGUGACUGCGUACCUUUUGUAUAAUGGGUCAGCGACUUAUAUUCAGUGGCAAGGUUAACCGAAUAGGGGAGCCGUAGGGAAACCGAGUCUUAACUGGGCGCUUCAGUCUCUGGAUAUAGNUAACAUCAACUGGAGGACCGAACCGACUAAUGUUGAAAAAUUAGCGGAUGACUUGUGGCUAGGGGUGAAAGGCCAAUCAAACUCGGAGAUAGCUGGUUCUCCCCGAAAGCUAUUUAGGUAGCGCCUCGGAUGAAUACUACUGGGGGUAGAGCACUGUUAAGGCUAGGGGGUCAUCCCGACUUACCAACCCUUUGCAAACUCCGAAUACCAGUAAGUACUAUCCGGGAGACACACGGCGGGUGCUAACGUCCGUCGUGGAGAGGGAAACAACCCAGACCGCCAGCUAAGGUCCCAAAUUACUACUAAGUGGGAAACGAUGUGGGAAGGCUCAGACAGCCAGGAUGUUGGCUUAGAAGCAGCCAUCAUUUAAAGAAAGCGUAAUAGCUCACUGGUCGAGUCGGCCUGCGCGGAAGAUGUAACGGGGCUAAGUAGUAAACCGAAGCUGCGGCAAUACAGUUUACUGUAUUGGGUAGGGGAGCGUUCUGUAAGCCGUUGAAGGUGUGUUGUAAAGCAUGCUGGAGGUAUCAGAAGUGCGAAUGCUGACAUGAGUAACGAUAAGGGGGGUGAAAAACCUCCCCGCCGGAAGACCAAGGGUUCCUGUCCAACGUUAAUCGGGGCAGGGUAAGUCGACCCCUAAGGCGAGGCUGAAAAGCGUAGUCGAUGGGAAACGGGUUAAUAUUCCCGUACUGCUUAUAAUUGCGAUGGGGGGACGGAGAAGGCUAGGUGGGCCAGGCGACGGUUGUCCUGGUUCAAGUGCGUAGGCUAAGAGACUAGGUAAAUCCGGUUUCUUGUUAGGCUGAGACACGACGUCGAGCUGCUACGGCAGUGAAGUCAUUGAUGCCCUGCUUCCAGGAAAAGCCUCUAAGCUUCAGAUUAUAAGCAAUCGUACCCCAAACCGACACAGGUGGUCGGGUAGAGAAUACCAAGGCGCUUGAGAGAACUCGGGUGAAGGAACUAGGCAAAAUGGUACCGUAACUUCGGGAGAAGGUACGCUCUUAUUGGUGAAGUCCCUCGCGGAUGGAGCUGACGAGAGUCGCAGAUACCAGGUGGCUGCAACUGUUUAUUAAAAACACAGCACUGUGCAAAAUCGCAAGAUGACGUAUACGGUGUGACGCCUGCCCGGUGCCGGAAGGUUAAUUGAUGGGGUUAGACUUAGGUCGAAGCUCUUGAUCGAAGCCCCGGUAAACGGCGGCCGUAACUAUAACGGUCCUAAGGUAGCGAAAUUCCUUGUCGGGUAAGUUCCGACCUGCACGAAUGGCGUAAUGAUGGCCACGCUGUCUCCACCCGAGACUCAGUGAAAUUGAAAUCGCUGUGAAGAUGCAGUGUACCCGCGGCUAGACGGAAAGACCCCGUGAACCUUUACUACAGCUUGGCACUGAACAUUGAACCUACAUGUGUAGGAUAGGUGGGAGACUUAGAAGCGCAGUCGCUAGAUUGCGUGGAGUCGACCUUGAAAUACCACCCUUGUCGUUUUGAUGUUCUAACGUAGGCCCCUCAUCGGGGUUGCGGACAGUGCCUGGUGGGUAGUUUGACUGGGGCGGUCUCCUCCCAAAGAGUAACGGAGGAGCACGAAGGUGGGCUAAUCACGGUUGGACAUCGUGAGGUUAGUGCAAUGGCAUAAGCCCGCUUAACUGCGAGAAUGACGGUUCGAGCAGGUACGAAAGUAGGUCAUAGUGAUCCGGUGGUUCUGAAUGGAAGGGCCAUCGCUCAACGGAUAAAAGGUACUCCGGGGAUAACAGGCUGAUACCGCCCAAGAGUUCAUAUCGACGGCGGUGUUUGGCACCUCGAUGUCGGCUCAUCACAUCCUGGGGCUGAAGUCGGUCCCAAGGGUAUGGCUGUUCGCCAUUUAAAGUGGUACGCGAGCUGGGUUUAGAACGUCGUGAGACAGUUCGGUCCCUAUCUGCCGUGGGCGUUGGAAGAUUGAAGGGGGCUGCUCCUAGUACGAGAGGACCGGAGUGGACGAACCGCUGGUGUUCGGGUUGUCAUGCCAAUGGCAUUGCCCGGUAGCUAAGUUCGGAAUUGAUAAGCGCUGAAAGCAUCUAAGCGCGAAGCGAGCCCUGAGAUGAGUCUUCCCUGGCACUUUAAGUGUCCUAAAGGGUUGUUCGAGACUAGAACGUUGAUAGGUUGGGUGUGUAAGCGCUGCGAGGCGUUGAGCUAACCAAUACUAAUUGCCCGUGAGGCUUAACCAUACAACACCGAAGGGGUUUUGU